rnacentral:rRNA from 1 species
CAGCCGCCACGGUAAUACGAAGGGUGCAAGCGUUAAUCGGAAUUACUGGACGUAAAGCGUGCGUAGGCGGUUAGUUAAGUCAGAUGUGAAAUCCCCGAGCUUAACUUGGGAACUGCAUUUGAAACUGGCAAGCUAGAGUCUUGUAGAGGGGGGUAGAAUUCCAGGUGUAGCGGUGAAAUGCGUAGAGAUCUGGAGGAAUACCGGUGGCGAAGGCGGCCCCCUGGACAAAGACUGACGCUCAGGUGCGAAAGCGUGGGGAGCAAACAGGAUUAGAUACCCCUGUAGUCCCUGUCUCUUAUAC